rnacentral:rRNA from 1 species
AAUAGAUACCCGGGUAGUCCACGCCGUAAACGUUGGGCGCUAGAUGUGGGGGGCCAUUCCACGGUUUCCGCGUCGUAGCUAACGCAUUAAGCGCCCCGCCUGGGGAGUACGGCCGCAAGGCUAAAACUCAAAGGAAUUGACGGGGGGCCCGCACAAGCGGCGGAGCAUGCGGAUUAAUUCGAUGCAACGCGAAGAACCUUACCAAGGCUUGACAUAUACGAGAACACUGCAGAAAUGUAGGACUCUUUGGACACUCGUAUACAGGUGGUGCAUGGUUGUCGUCAGCUCGUGUCGUGAGAUGUUGGGUUAAGUCCCGCAACGAGCGCAACCCUCGUCGCAUGUUGCCAGCACGUAAAGGUGGGAACUCAUGUGAGACUGCCGGGGUCAACUCGGAGGAAGGUGGGGAUGACGUCAAAUCAUCAUGCCCCUUAUGUCUUGGGCUUCACGCAUGCUACAAUGGCCGGUACAAAGGGCUGCAAUACCGUAAGGUGGAGCGAAUCCAAAAGCCGGUCUCAGUUCGGA